AUUGAACGCUGGCGGCAUGCUUUACACAUGCAAGUCGAACGGCAGCACGGGAGCUUGCUCCUGGUGGCGAGUGGCGAACGGGUGAGUAAUGCAUCGGAACGUACCCAGUAGUGGGGGAUAGCCCGGCGAAAGCCGGAUUAAUACCGCAUAUUUCCUGAGGGAGAAAGCGGGGGACCUUCGGGCCUCGCGCUACUGGAGCGGCUGAUGUCGGAUUAGCUAGUUGGUGAGGUAAAGGCUCACCAAGGCGACGAUCCGUAGCUGGUCUGAGAGGAUGAUCAGCCACACUGGGACUGAGACACGGCCCAGACUCCUACGGGAGGCAGCAGUGGGGAAUUUUGGACAAUGGGGGCAACCCUGAUCCAGCCAUGCCGCGUGAGUGAAGAAGGCCUGGUUGUAAAGACUCUUUCAGGUGGAAAGAAAUACACUACCCCGAAUAACGGUGGUGGAUGACGGUACCGAUCAGAAGAAGAC
rnacentral:rRNA from 1 species